rnacentral:rRNA from 1 species
GACGAACGCUGGCGGCGUGCUUCAUACAUGCAAGUCGAACGCGAAUCGGUAGCUUGCUACCGAGGAAAGUGGCGGACGGGUGAGUAAUGUGUAGAGAAUCUGCCCUAGAGCGGGGGACAACAGCUGGAAACGGCUGCUAAUACCCCAUAUGAGCGUAUCUGAAAUGGUAUUCUUGAAAACUCCGGUGCUCUAGGAUGAGUCUGCAUCUGAUUAGCUGGUUGGUGGGGUAACGGCCCACCAAGGCGACGAUCAGUAGCCGGCCUGAGAGGGUGAACGGCCACAUUGGGACUGAGACACGGCCCAG